GACGAACGCUGGCGGCGUGCUUAACACAUGCAAGUCGAACGGAAAGGCCCUGCUUUUGUGGGGUGCUCGAGUGGCGAACGGGUGAGUAACACGUGAGUAACCUGUCCUUGACUGUGGGAUAAUUUAAGGAAACUGGGGCUAAUACCGGAUAGGAGCUCCUGAUGCAUGGUGGGGGUUGGAAAGUUUCGGCGGUUGGGGGUGGACUCGCGGCGGAUCAGCUUGUUGGUGGGGUAGUGGCUUACCAAGGCUUUGACGGGUAGCCGGCCUGAGAGGGUGACCGGCCACAUUGGGACUGGGAUACGACCCAGACUCGUACGGGAGGCAGCAGUGGGGAAUAUUGCACAAUGGGCGGAAGCCUGAUGCAGCAACGCCGCGUGCGGGAUGACGGCCUUCGGUUUGUAAACCGCUUUCGCCUGUGACGAAGCGUGAGUGACGGUAAUGGGUAAAUAAGCACCGGCUAACUACGUG
rnacentral:rRNA from 1 species